rnacentral:rRNA from 1 species
CUGCUGCCUUCCGUAGGAGUCUGGGCCGUGUCUCAGUCCCAAUGUGGCCGUCCGCCCUCUCGGGCCGGCUACUGAUCGUCGCCUUGGUGGGCCGUUACCCCGCCAACUGGCUAAUCAGACGCGGAUCCAUCGUAUACCGCCGGAGCUUUUCACACUGUCCCAUGCGGGACCGUGCGCUUAUGCGGUAUUAGCACCUGUUUCCAGGUGUUAUCCCCCUGUAUACGGCAGGUUAUCCACGCGUUACUCACCCGUCCGCCAA